rnacentral:rRNA from 1 species
UGCAGUCGACGGUGAGCAGAGCUUGCUCUGUGGAUCAGUGGCGAACGGGUGAGUAACACGUGAGCAAUCUGCCCCUGACUCUGGGAUAAGCGCUGGAAACGGCGUCUAAUACCGGAUACGAGCUGCGACCGCAUGGUCAGUAGCUGGAAAGAAUUUCGGUCAGGGAUGAGCUCGCGGCCUAUCAGCUUGUUGGUGAGGUAAUGGCUCACCAAGGCGUCGACGGGUAGCCGGCCUGAGAGGGUGACCGGCCACACUGGGACUGAGACACGGCCCAGACUCCUACGGGAGGCAGCAGUGGGGAAUAUUGCACAAUGGGCGCAAGCCUGAUGCAGCAACGCCGCGUGAGGGAUGACGGCCUUCGGGUUGUAAACCUCUUUU